rnacentral:rRNA from 1 species
AUUGAACGCUGGCGGCAGGCCUAACACAUGCAAGUCGGACGGUAGCACAGAGGAGCUUGCUCCUCGGGUGACGAGUGGCGGACGGGUGAGUAAUGUCUGGGGAUCUGCCCGAUAGAGGGGGAUAACCACUGGAAACGGUGGCUAAUACCGCAUAACGUCGCAAGACCAAAGAGGGGGACCUUCGGGCCUCUCACUAUCGGAUGAACCCAGAUGGGAUUAGCUAGUAGGCGGGGUAAUGGCCCACCUAGGCGACGAUCCCUAGCUGGUCUGAGGGGAGGACCAGCCACACUGGAACUGAGGCACGGGCCAGACUCCUACGGGAGGCAGCAGUGGGGAAUAUUGCACAAUGGGCGCAAGCCUGAUGCAGCCAUGCCGCGUGUAUGAAGAAGGCCUUCGGGUUGUAAAGUACUUUCAGCGGGGAGGAAGGCGGUGAGGUUAAUAACCUCACCGAUUGACGUUACCCGCAGAAGAAGCACCGGCUAACUCCGUGCCAGCCGCCGCCGUAA